UACGGAGGGUGCAAACGUUGCUCGGAAUCAUUGGGCGUAAAGCGCACGUAGGCGGCUUUGUAAGUUAGAGGUGAAAGCCCGGGGCUCAACUCCGGAAUUGCCUUUAAGACUGCAUCGCUAGAAUUGUGGAGAGGUAAGUGGAAUUCCGAGUGUAGAGGUGAAAUUCGUAGAUAUUCGGAAGAACACCAGUGGCGAAGGCGACUUACUGGACACAUAUUGACGCUGAGGUGCGAAAGCGUGGGGAGCAAACAGG
rnacentral:rRNA from 1 species